ensembl:lncRNA
CUUUGACUGACACAAAACCUCAAUUAUGGAUGUGUUGCAUUGAUUUAUUUUUUGGAACAUAAUUACAUUACAGAUCUUUAGGAAAUGUGUUGUUUAAGAAUCCAAAGAGGUGUGUUGCAAAAUUGAUGGAAAUAUUUUUUCUUAAAAACGCAGAAUAACAACUUGAGUGAAGGGGUUUGAAGCAGAGGCGUUGAUAGGAUCACAAUAGUUUCGGGGCUUAGGUACCCUAUACGGAAGCGCAGGAAAUAGUUGAACGGGGAAGCGGAAAAGAGGACAACAUCGGUACUGGUGCUCCACUGAGUGUUGAGGCCAAUGUGGUUCAAUUGGUAGGGCUUGCAACUCCUGGGUUGUGGGUUUGACUCCCACGGGUCUGUUUGAAAAUAUACUCACUACUGUAAAUCGCUCUGGGUAAGAACGUCUUGCUAAAGGAUUUAAAUAUAAUUUAAAUCAACGUUUUUCGGUCACACAGAUCAGGAGGUUGUUGCUGAUGUAGCGACCUGGUUUAGUUACACGAAACAUACAUAAAUGGGGAAUAAUAAGGAACGUUGAAUGUCAAUGAUACAAAUGAGAAUGCAUACGUACAUCAACAAUAUAUAAUGCCGGGAAUACAGAAUGUAUAACCGUAGUGAGUAAACAAUAUAUAAACUGUAUUUAAAGUGAUAAGGGCUCUUAUGUCAUGGUUGUGUGUGUGUCAGAUUAGCGCACGCGGAUGUGUGGAUGACACAACAUUCCGAAGAGUCGUAUGAAUGCGGAGCGUGCUGUUACAGUAGAACAAUUACAAUAUAGGACAUGCGCGGAUUUUCCGUGGUCAUUUAUUUCCUCACCAAGAUCCAAUACAGACCUAAUCCGGCGGCAAGAUAUUUUUGCUACAAAACAAUUUUCAUAGAACAUAAGUUACUCUCCCACGGUGUUGAGGAACAGAGGCAAAGUAGUGGUAUUCCGAUGGUCUUGCAUGGUGUGGCCCCCUUAUGCUGACAAAGCCCGGAUUUUAAACACAUUGUUCUGAAGAUCUCCCCAAAACCAGCCAAAGGAUGGAAGCAAUACCCAGCACGAAAGAAUAUUUUCACAAGAUUGCAGAGUGGUGGGAGAAGUCAUGUGUGACAUCAGACAUCAAAGCUGACUAGAAGCAAGAAUGCCAAAGAGGCCGACAACAUAUCAAGUCACUAGCCAUCCAAGUUCCAGACCAGAUCGCAGGCCAGACCAGACCAGCAUCUGAAAGGAAUGAACUUAAAUAGACAUGCGAGUUGGAGGCCAGGAGUGGAGGUCCAACCUACCACUUCAAGUCAAAUGGAAGAAAGUAACACUCUUGGAACUCCAAGACCUUGUUUUCAGACCUGUGAGCAACGUGUCCCACCAAACUCUACAGACCUCAAAGUUGUCCUUAACCAGGGACAGAAUUUUAAGCAAACCAUGUGGUGUGUGUUCGAGACGGUCUUCACACCAGACUUGGCAACCCAAACCAACUGAACUGGUGCGGGAGGGGGCAGAAGACUGUCAUCUGGUCAAUGCCACUGAAGGAUGCUGUUAUGUGUUCUGUUCUUAAAAACCCAAGUUUGCCAGUAAUUACUGAGGUCGCGGUUGAAAGGGCGGAGACGGCUGGAGGGAAAUACCUACUGAAGAAGAGGACGAUUAAUUUGUAGCUUAUAUAAUGCACAAUUGUUUGGUGUUUUUGUUUAGGCUUCUUUAAUUUUUUCUCUGUUUGUUAAAUUGUAUAUCUUGUAAAUAAAGUUCAUACCUUAGUCUUUUUCUUGUCUCUUCACUUUACUUAAGC